rnacentral:rRNA from 1 species
AGUCGAGCGAGCGGAACCAACAGAUUUACUUCGGUAAUGACGUUGGGAAAGCGAGCGGCGGAUGGGUGAGUAACACGUGGGGAACCUGCCCCUAAGUCUGGGAUACCAUUUGGAAACAGGUGCUAAUACCGGAUAAUAAAGCAGUAUCGCAUGAUCAGCUUUUGAAAGGCGGCGUAAGCUGUCGCUAAGGGAUGGCCCCGCGGUGCAUUAGCUAGUUGGUAAGGUAACGGCUUACCAAGGCGACGAUGCAUAGCCGAGUUGAGAGACUGAUCGGCCACAUUGGGACUGAGACACGGCCCAUACUCCUACGGGAGGCAGCAGUAGGGAAUCUUCCACAAUGGACGCAAGUCUGAUGGAGCAACGCCGCGUGAGUGAA